CAUGCAAGUCGAACGUGAAAGGGUACUUGUACCCUGGAAAGUGGCGGACGGGUGAGUAAGACGUAGGUGACCUGCCUUGGAGUGGGGGAUAACCAUUAGAAAUGAUGGCUAAUACCGCAUGAAGUUAUUUAGUUGGGAAACGAGAUAACCAAAGCUUUGGCGCUUGGAGAGGGGCCUACGGCCGAUUAGCUAGUUGGUGGGGUAAAGGCCUACCAAGGCGAUGAUCGGUAGCUGGUCUGAGAGGACGAUCCGCCACACGGGAACUGAGACACGGUCCCGACUCCUACGGGGGCAGCAGUGAGGAAUAUUCGGCAAUGGGGGGAACCCUGACCGAGCAACGCCGCGUGGAGGAUGACGGUUUUCGGAUUGUAAACUCCUUUUCUGGGGGAAGAGCAAGGACGGUACCCCAGGAAUCAGUCACGGCUAACUACGUGCCAGCAGCCGCGGUAAUACGUAGGUGGCAAGCGUUAUCCGGAAUUAUUGGGCGUAAAGCGCACGCAGGUGGCUUCUUAAGUCUGACGUGAAAGCUCCUGGCUUAACUGGGAGAGGUCGUUGGGUACUGGGAGGCUUGAGGCAAGGAGAGGGGCGUAGAAUUCCCGGUGUAGUGGUGGAAUGCGUAGAUAUCGGGGGGAAUACCAGAGGCGCAAGCGGCGCCCUGGCCUUGGCCUGACGCUCAGGUGCGAAAGCGUGGGGAGCGAACGGGAUUAGAUACCCCGGUAGUCCACGCCAUAAACGAUGAAUACUAGGUGUUGGGGGAUUUAAACCCUUCGGUACCGCAGCUAACGCGUUAAGUAUUCCGCCUGGGGAGUACGACCGCAAGGUUAAAACUCAAAGGAAUUGACGGGGGCCCGCACAAGCAGCGGAGCGUGUGGUUUAAUUCGAUGCAACGCGAAACACCUUACCUGGACUUGACGUGUCCGUAGUAGUGAAGCGAAAGCGGAACGACCCUUCGGGGAGCGGAUGCAGGUGCUGCAUGGCUGUCGUCAGCUCG
rnacentral:rRNA from 1 species